CAUUUUGGCUGUACUCGUUGUUCUUGUUCUCUAUUGGACAUUCCUGCGCUAUUUUAACAGUCCUAUUUAACGACGUUUUUUUUCGGUGUUAUCUCGAUUUCAUCAGCAUAUCAACAACAAAUAUUUAAUUUAAUAACCAUGGACCAAAUGGAAGACCCCGCUGGAUCAGAUAAUAAACGAGCUAUAGAGCGGAAAAGGAGUUGAAGAUGCUAAGCGAGGACUUCAGAGAGGACAAGCUUUCAACAUCAGCACCGUCCAUCACUUUUUCCCUCCGCCCAUACCCUAAACAUCACGCACAGGCGCUGGUUUAGCCAGAGUCCUCUCCCCUGAUACUGUCUGACUCCAGCAGUCUUAUCACAAGCAUUUCGAUGGGUGGUAAUGAAGGAGGAGGACGGGGAGGAGAGCGAUGGAGCUUCUUCGGAGUGCGGCCCAUCGUGCAGAAAUCCCCCACUGACCCAGGAUCAGAAAGCAUCACUCCUGGCAAGAACCUGUUAUAUGGCUCUGUUAUU